rnacentral:rRNA from 1 species
AGUGAACGCUGGCGGUAGGCCUAACACAUGCAAGUCGAACGGCAGCACAGUAAGAGCUUGCUCUUACGGGUGGCGAGUGGCGGACGGGUGAGGAAUACAUCGGAAUCUACUUUUUCGUGGGGGAUAACGUAGGGAAACUUACGCUAAUACCGCAUACGACCUACGGGUGAAAGCAGGGGAUCUUCGGACCUUGCGCGAUUGAAUGAGUCGAUGUCGGAUUAGCUAGUUGGCGGGGUAAAGGCCCACCAAGGCGACGAUCCGUAGCUGGUCUGAGAGGAUGAUUAGCCACACUGGAACUGAGACACGGUCCAGACUCCUACGGGAGGCAGCAGUGGGGAAUAUUGGACAAUGGGCGCAAGCCUGAUCCAGCCAUACCGCGUGGGUGAAGAAGGCCUUCGGGUUGUAAAGCCCUUUUGUUGGGAAAGAAAAGCAGCAGGUUAAUACCCCGCUGUUCUGACGGUACCCAAAGAAUAAGCACCGGCUAACUUCGUG